rnacentral:rRNA from 1 species
UCCCAGCCGCCGCGGUAAUACGAAGGUCCCGAGCGUUGUUCGGAUUUACUGGGCGUAAAGAGUCUGUAGGCGGCAAGGUAAGUCAGAUGUGAAAUCCCGGGGCUCAACCCCGGAACUGCAUCCGAUACUGCCUUGCUAGAGUGUUGGAGGGGAAACUGGAAUUCUCGGUGUAGCAGUGAAAUGCGUAGAUAUCGAGAGGAACACUAGUGGCGAAGGCGAGUUUCUGGACAACUACUGACGCUGAGAGACGAAGGCCAGGGUAGCGAAAAGGAUUAGAUACCCUUGUAGUCCUGGCAGUAAACGGUGCACGCUUGGUGUGGGAGGAUUCGACCCCUUCCGUGCCGGAGCUAACGCGUUAAGCGUGCCGCCUGGGGAGUACGGUCGCAAGAUUAAAACUCAAAGAAAUUGACGGGGACCCGCACAAGCGGUGGAGCAUGUGGCUUAAUUCGAUGCAACGCGAAGAACCUUACCUGGGCUUGACAUAUAUAUCGUAGACUUGUGAAAGCUUGUCGUCACUUCGGGUGGAUAUAUACAGGUGCUGCAUGGCUGUCGUCAGCUCGUGCCGUGAGAUGUUGGGUUAAGUCCCGCAACGAGCGCAACCCCUGUGGACUGUUGCCAGCACGUAAUGGUGGGGACUCUGUCCAGACUGCCCAGAUUAACUGGGAGGAAGGUGGGGAUGACGUCAAGUCAGUAUGGCCCUUACGCCCAGGGCUGCACACGUGCUACAAUGUCCAGUACAAUGUGAACCGAUACCGCGAGGUGGAGGAAAUCCUGUAAAACUGGGCUCAGUUCGGAUUGUAGGCUGCAACUCGCCUACAUGAAGUUGGAAUCGCUAGUAAUGGCUCAUCAGCUACGGAGCCGUGAAUACGUUCCCGGGUCUUGUACACACCGCCCGUCACAUCAUGGAAGCCGCUCGCACCCAAAGUAUCUGCGCUAACUUCGGAAGCAGGGU